UUUGCAUUUGCAAGGUACAAGGUACUAAGGUACAUGGUACAUGCAUGACAAAGUCAACAAUAAUGAGGUUCAAGUUUAACCUAGUGUUUGUGACGUGUUUGAUCAUGUGAUGUUUAAUACAAUGUGUCGUGUCGUUACUCGUUACUACAUCACUGUCAGUGACAAUGAGAGGUUACAAACGAAAACAUAACCUCUCUUUUAAGUCAUGAGUAGUAAUUUGCAGUAAUUAAAACACUAUCUUAGUUAAAAUAGUGUUAACGCAAUCGUUGCGUGUAAACUACUAUAACCAAAUAGGCCUAUUAUCUUGAUCUCCACUAUCAAACUAAUGAGCUAGCUUUGGUUUGAAGAUGACUACAGAAGACUUGUAAUUUUAAACAACAGGCUUUAAACCUUGGGAUCUGCAAGAGAACGAACAUUUAUCAAGCUAUUUAGGCUAUCUAAACCUCUCGCUCGAGAGCUUUGUAAUGAGCUAGAGCCCAGACUGCCAGUAGCACAUCGUUCCAGUGCCAUGCCAAGUGACAUAAGAGUUCUGACAUCUCUUCGGUUCAUGGCCUCAGGAAGCUACCAGGAGUGUAUUGGCCAAAAUAGAUACCUACCCUGGAAUGUCACAAUCAAGUAAACAGAAUUACUAUGAAAUAUUGCAGACAUUCUUCUGAAUGAUGCAUGAAAAGGAAAAAUCGUUCUCCAAGUUUGUAAUUGAUGGUUUGAUCUGAAACGUCAUCCACCACGAUCUUAAUCCAGAGCUACGAGUCUGUAAGAACUGCGUUUGAACACUUAGUCGAUAGAAGAGAAAUCGCUGAUUUUAUCUCUGCAUUUCAUCGAAUCCCAAAGCAGAGACUGAAUUAAGGAAACAACUUCAAGCUACAAGAAGAUUCCAGAUUGACAGGACCGUUGAGUAUAUUAGUUAUAUUAACAUUGCCUUAAAUCUCUUUAUGAGAUUGUGUUCUGUGUGCUUAAAAAAACAUUGUAUGUGUCGUCUACGAGUCUUCUUAAUAUUAAUAGUUAUUUAGCUAUAAUUAUAUUUAACUAAAGUACAAACAAUUGAUCUCAAGAUGAGUGGUGUAAGUUAAGCCAAAGAAAUUUAUUGAAAUGCUAUGUCUUUGUUAAGGUGGCUUUAGACACGGUUUAUAAGGGUUUUGUAUUGUAUAGAUUCAACAGCAGACUUAACUUACUGACAAAAAUACGCAGAGCAGAGCUUUUUUCAGAGGUUGGCGGCCUCUUUUAACCUUUCAUUAGCCCGUCCACAUAGACUACAAAUAGAUGAAAUGCAAAAAGAUCUAUUGAUAAAUAGGUUGUUUAAGGAACUCUAGUCGCUCGAUUUUUCUCAUUAAUGAAGUUGUUUUAUAGUUCCUACUUGUUUAGUUGUACCACAAUGUCAAGUUUCAAAUAAAAUUUUUUUUGUAAUAAACUUUGUGUGUGUGUUUUU